AUUGAACGCUAGCGGGAUGCUUUACACAUGCAAGUCGAACGAGUGGCGGACGGGUGAGUAAUAUAUCGGCACGUGCCCAGUAGCGGGGGAUAACUAAUCGGAAGAGUUGCUAAUAACGCAUACUAUUGGAGCGGCCGAUAUCGGAUUAGCUAGUUGGUGGGGUAAAGGCUCACCAAGGCCACGAUCCGUAGCUGGUUUGAGAGGACGACCAGCAACACUGGGACUGAGACACGGCCCAGACUCCUACGGGAGGCAGCAGUGGGGAAUUUUGGACAAUGGGCGAAACCCUGAUCCAGCCAUGCCGCGUGUAUGAGAAGGCCUUCGGGUUGUAAAGUACUUUAGGUAGAGAAGCGGUAUCUGCAGAAUAAGCACCGGCUAACGACGUGCCAGCAGCCGCGGUAAUAC
rnacentral:rRNA from 1 species